rnacentral:rRNA from 1 species
GAUGAACGCUGGCGGCGUGCCUAAUACAUGCAAGUCGAGCGAACAGACGAGGAGCUUGCUCCUCUGACGUUAGCGGCGGACGGGUGAGUAACACGUGGAUAACCUACCUAUAAGACUGGGAUAACUUCGGGAAACCGGAGCUAAUACCGGAUAAUAUAUUGAACCGCAUGGUUCAAUAGUGAAAGACGGUAUUGCUGUCACUUAUAGAUGGAUCCGCGCCGCAUUAGCUAGUUGGUAAGGUAACGGCUUACCAAGGCAACGAUGCGUAGCCGACCUGAGAGUGAGAUCGGCCCCACUGGAACUGAAACACGGUCCAGACUCCUACGGGAGGCAGCAGUGGGGAAUCUUCCGCAAUGGGCGAAUGCCUGACAGAGCAACGCCGCGUGAGUGAUAAAGGUCUUCGGAUCGUAAAACUCUGUUAUUAGGGAAGAACAAAUGUGUAAGUAACUAUGCACGUCUUGACGGUACCUAAUCAGAAAGCCACGACUAACUACGUG